rnacentral:lncRNA from 1 species
GCCUUAGUGUAAAAUUUCUUUGAAUUAUGUUAGUGAAAACAAGUUGAACAUCACUUUUUGGCAUUAUCGUAUUUCAGUUAUAUUAUUUGGAAAAAUCCAUAUAAUAUAACUGUCAAAGGACUGGCAGGAAUGUUGGUGUUUUUGAGAGUUCUCCAACCAUGUGCUAUGUGAUGGACCCCGACCCUAUUGUAUUUUCAAAGUAUUUUAAUGGUGAUUGGAGAGGCAAACUAUUCUUAUUCGUUUCAAAUCUCACAAACACAACUCUCCAACUUUUUUAGCAAAAAGGGAAAUUGUAUUCUCAAGAUCUUUUACUGAAAGUAUUCCUGCACAUCUCAAACAGAUAGUUCGAUGUUUUCUUGAACAAUGGAGAUAUUUCUUUAUGCCUCCAAUAUCAACUUUGAACUUUUUUUUGAGUGCCUGUUCAUAAAGUAGAGAAAAACUUAAUUUUUUUAUUAGAUUAAUAGGUAUUUUAAGCCAAUUAAAGCGUUUCCUGGUCCUAUCUUUGAAUUGAUAAGAGAGAGUUCAUAGGCAAUUUCAACAACAUCGUAGUCUAGAAAUUUUAUUUUAAAGAGGAUUGGAGUUGUCCUCGUUCAGGUUUUUUAACUUUAGAUACUCAUUUAUUCAAGAAUUCAUUUAUAAUAGAAGAACGUUUAUUAAUAUUCAUCUUUUCUUCUGUUUCGUCACGCUUUAUAUCUAGAAGAGUGAUAUUGGAUUGUUCAGUUAUUUUUAUUUUAAUUUACAUCAAGAACCCUCUAAUUCUAUUAUGGUAUGAUAAUUUUCAAGUGAAGGUGCUAUGGGCGCCGAGGAUGCUAGGGAAUUUAAACACUCACUUCAACAUUUAUCUUUAUAUCUAAUAUAUUAGACAUUAAAGAUGAAAUAUAAAUCCCAAAAUCUUAGUUUCAUUUUGAUAAAAUGAACCCUUAAUUGAAUGGCUCUACAAAAUAUUUGACUUGUUCAAGCGAUAUUUUCACAUUAUGUCGAUUUUUUUAAUGAUUAUUAAUUAUAAUCUAAUUCAUCACAUAUGUUUCAUAUUAUGGAUAAUAAUUAUAUAGAUAGGGCAAUUAUAAAUUCGCAUAUUCUAGGAUGACUUAUGACCAGCUGUACCUUUUAUCCAUUUAUGCUCUGUUUACAUCACGUUGGGGGAAUUUCUUGUAAAUGUAUUAUAUGUCCAGUUUUAUGUGUUAAUAAUAGUUGAAAUGAAGAUCCAUAAUAUAUUUUCUAAAAAUCAAUAAUUAUAAAUAUUAUAUUAAUUAACCACGUGUCCUUUCAGAAAUCACGCAGAAUCUAACAAAUUAUGUUACUUAUAGGGGAGACUGGAGUCAAUUGGUAACACUCAGUACAUAAAGAUGAUUUGGAACUGUUCCUGAUCUCCCGUAUAAAGUACAAAUUUUAUCAUAAGUUAUGGUUUUUUGAUGAUGAUAUGCAUGUUGUUACGUAAAAAGGAACUUAGAGACUUUAUGAACGGAAUCGUCAAAAAAUACAGGAUCGUAGUAACAUGAAAUUACAUAAUUUGUAAUUUUUUUGGUAUCUUUUUGCAUUUAGUAUAUGAUACAAUAAUCUCUAACCAAUGUUACGAACAUUUCAAAGAAAUGUUAUAUUUUAGUAGUCAUGCUCACUGGUAUAUAUUGCUAUAGUGAACUAUUACCUUGUUUCGUAAUUGAUUUUUAAAUGGAAGAAAUAUAAAUAUCAAAUAACAAUGAUAUAGUUUUAGUCAACUUAUAUAUUCAAUUAUUGGCUAAAAACAAGUAUAGGAAAUAUGAAUACAUUUGUAUUUUCCUCUUAACAAACCUCAGAAUAAAGUAGGAGACAACUUAAUUUUAUGGUCAAAAUAGUUUUAAAAGUACCUGAAUAUUCAGGUAUUAUUAUUGAAUACCAAUAAUUCAAUUUGAGUCAAAGUUUUUAUUUAACUUUUAACAUUUAUAAUAAUCGAGCAACAAA